rnacentral:rRNA from 1 species
CCUACGGGGGGCUGCAGUGGGGAAUAUUGGACAAUGGGGGCAACCCUGAUCCAGCCAUGCCGCGUGUGUGAAGAAGGCCCUCGGGUUGUAAAGCACUUUCAGUGAGGAAGAACGCCUGGUGGUUAAUACCCAUCAGGAAAGACAUCACUCACAGAAGAAGCACCGGCUAACUCCGUGCCAGCAGCCGCGGUAAUACGGAGGGUGCGAGCGUUAAUCAGAAUUACUGGGCGUAAAGCGCGCGUAGGUGGCUUGAUAAGCCGGUUGUGAAAGCCCCGGGCUCAACCUGGGAACGGCAUCCGGAACUGUCAAGCUAGAGUGCAGGAGAGGAAGGUAGAAUUCCCGGUGUAGCGGUGAAAUGCGUAGAGAUCGGGAGGAAUACCAGUGGCGAAGGCGGCCUUCUGGACUGACACUGACACUGAGGUGCGAAAGCGUGGGUAGCAAACAGGAUUAGAUACCCGAGUAGUC